UACGUAGGGUGCAAGCGUUAAUCUGAAUUACUGGGCGUAAAGCGUGCGCAGGCGGUGAUGUAAGACAGUUGUGAAAUCCCCGGGCUCAACCUGGGAACUGCAUCUGUGACUGCAUCGCUGGAGUGCGGCAGAGGGGGAUGGAAUUCCGCGUGUAGCAGUGAAAUGCGUAGAUAUGCGGAGGAACACCGAUGGCGAAGGCAAUCCCCUGGGCCUGCACUGACGCUCAUGCACGAAAGCGUGGGGAGCAAACAGG
rnacentral:rRNA from 1 species